AGAAAUUUUUGCAGCAAAAAGUGGUAAGCCAACAUAUCUCCUGACCUUGACAUCCCCCAUCAAGAGAGCUGACAAACACUUCCCCUCCUUUGCAAAGAAAAUUAUGGCAACUUGUAAUGAGAAAAGGUGGACUGAUGAAAUGCUCAAGGAAAAUUGACUUCUAAUUUGAGAGCCGUCAGAAACUUCUCCUUGCAUGCGAAGAAAAUUGUGGAAGCUUAUAAUGAGAAUGGAGUCGUGGACACAUUGAUGAAAUACUCACGGAGAAGUAACACUAA